CAAUAGCGUAUAUUAAAGUUGUUGCAGUUAAAAAGCUCGUAGUUGAAUUUCAGGUCCCCGCGCUCGGCGCUUCAUUGUGCCGUCGUGGUGUCCCUCCUCGCCGUAAGGCGUCCUUUACUGUGAAAAAAUUAGAGUGUUCAAAGCAGGCAAUCGCUUGAAUACAUUAGCAUGGAAUAAUAAGAUAGGAUCUUGUCUAUUUUGUUGGUUGCGGACAACGAUAAUGAUUAAUAGGGAUAGUUGGGGGUGUCCGUAUUGAGCUGUCAGAGGUGAAAUUCUUGGAUUUGCUCAAGACGAACUACUGCGAAAGCAUUCACCAAGGAUGUUUUCAUUAA
rnacentral:rRNA from 1 species